GCCCGAUGAACCUGAAUAUCCGUUAUGGAAAAUUCAUCAUUAGAAUUGUAAUGUUUAAACAAUAUUAUGAUAAUAGUGUGCAUUUUUUCCAUAUAAGGACAUUGUAAUCUAUUAGCAUAACAAAAUUUAUCAUAAAAUAUGGCUUAUAGUUUAUUCAAAUUAUUAUGCUUGCAUUUUAACAUAGAAUAAAUGUCAUUAAUUUGAUAAAGUGCUGAUAGAUUUAUAUGACUACAGUGCGUUAAUUUUUCGGAAUUAUAUAAUGGCAUAAUUAUCAUUGAUUUUUGUGUUUAUUAUAUGCACUUGUACGAUUAACAAUGCGAAAGAUUCAGGAUACUUCGGG
rnacentral:rRNA from 1 species